rnacentral:rRNA from 1 species
CCUACGGGUGGCAGCAGUGGGGAAUAUUGCACAAUGGGGGAAACCCUGAUGCAGCGACGCCGCGUGAGUGAAGAAGGAUUUCGGGAUGUAAAGCUCUAUCAGCAGGGAAGAAAAUGACGGUACCUGAGUAAUAAGCCCCGGCUAACUACGUGCCAGCAGCCGCGGUAAUACGGAGGGGGCGAGCGUGAUCCGGAUUUACUGGGGGUAAAGGGAGCGUAGACGGCAGCACAAGUCUGGAGUGAAAUUCCGGGGCUUAACCCCGGAACUGCUUUUGAAACUGUGCAGCUAGAGUGCAGGAGAGGUAAGUGGAAUUCCUAGUGUAGCGGUGAAAUGCGUAGAUAUUAGGAAGAACACCAGUGGCGAAGGCGGCUUACUGGACUGUAACUGACGUUGAGGCUCGAAAGCGUGGGGAGCAAACAGGAUUAGAUACCCUGGUAGUC